rnacentral:lncRNA from 1 species
CCAGUAUCACUUUCCCUACCUCAAAAAAAGCACAACCUGAAAGAUUUUCCACCACAGAUAAUCCAAGGCUACCCCACAGUAUAUGGGUGGGCAGUUCCCAAAGCAGCAGCUUCCCCAAGGCCCAUAGCCACCCCCAACAUUGCUUUGCCAGAGUGUGUGUGCCAGCAGGUUUUGCCUUCCCUGCCCUGUCAGUAAGCAUGUCUGCAUGCAUCCAACACUGCCACAGGAGUGAAUCUUCUUCAACUAGCUAGAGAGGCCAACAUUCAAAUUCAGGAAAUGCAGAGAACCCCAGUAAGAUACUUCAAAAUAAGAUCAAUUAAGCCAUCAUAGAUGGACAGGACACUCAUUACAAUUUUCUAUGAUUGGACUAAAACCUAACUAGACUCAGUCCCCGGGUUUUGAAACAUCUCCCCUUUGAUUUCUCCUCUUUAAUUGCCACCUUUGUGCUACCUCCCACUGUCCGCAUUUCCUACACUUUCCAUCUCCAAACACUGUACUUACUUGGUAUAUAGUAAUUUCUCUGUGCUGACUACUGGGCAAAUUCUUCAAAUUUU